rnacentral:rRNA from 1 species
AUUGAACGCUGGCGGCAGGCCUAACACAUGCAAGUCGAACGAGCGGCGGACGGGUGAGUAAUGUCUGGGAAACUGCCUGAUGGAGGGGGAUAACUACUGGAAACGGUCGCUAAUACCGCAUACCAUCGGAUUAACCCAGAUGGGAUUAGCUAGUUGGUGGGGUAACGGCUCACCAAGGCGACGAUAUCUAGCUGGUCUGAGAGGCUGACCAGCCACACUGGAACGGAGACACGGUCGAGACUCCGACGGGAGGCAGCAGGAGGGAAUCGUUCACAAUGGGCGAAAGCCUGAUGCAGCAACGCCGCGUGUAUGAAGAAGGCCUUCGGAUCGUAAAGUACUGUUGGUGGGGAAGCGGUACCCAAAGAGAAAGCAACGGCUAACUCCGUGCCAGCAGCCGCGGUAAUUC